rnacentral:rRNA from 1 species
AUUGAACGCUGGCGGCAGGCUUAACACAUGCAAGUCGAACGGUAACAGGGAGUAGCUUGCUACUUUGCUGACGAGUGGCGGACGGGUGAGUAAGGUAUGGGAAUUUGCCGAAUGGAGGGGACAACAGUUGGAAACGGCUGCUAAAUACCGCAUAACGUCGCGAAGACCAAAGGGUGGGACUUUCGGGCCACCUGCAUUGAUGAGCCCAUAUGAGAUUAGCUAGUUGGUGUGG